GCUGCUGGACGAACCGACCAGAAGGGAGAACUGGAGGCAGGAAGCCUGUUGAAACUGCGUAAUCGGAGAUCAGCCAUCGCGGAAAGAGGCCCUUCAGCACUGGGCCAGUGGCGCAAUGGAUAACGCGUCUGACUACGGAUCAGAAGAUUCUAGGUUCGACUCCUGGCUGGCUCGGAAGGCCACGCAGACCAAGCCAUGGCAGUACUUUAAGGCGUUCAGAAUGGUUCUUCUGCCCGCCACCUGGAUUCAGCAUUGUAUCCUCACAGGACUCAGCUGAGAGGAAGCUCACUUAGGCACUAGCCAGGGGGAUGGUGGGUAUUUCUAGAACAGGAAACAAGGAAGUAACAUCUGACUAAAAGAUACCAAUAGAAUGAACCUUAUAAAAAAAUAAAGAAGAUGGUCCUGCUCCCCCUGCGCCAGUUCUGAACUUCUCACAGACAACGGAAGCCAGCAGGAUUGAAACAGCCUACGUGUAGAGCUGGGGCCCAGUCAAGAGUCCACGUUCACAUGUGGCGGGCUCCACUGGUCAUGAUUCAUCACCACACCAGCUGCUGGGUGCCCAGCUUGACUGGCAGACGUGAGAUACUGCAGCCCUUCCUGCCACAGUUGUGGGGCACUCCUUGAAGCUACGAGGACAACUGGAAAACCAUUUUGUUUUUGGUUUUCCAGUUUCUCUCAUUAGAACUGCCAAGAAGACACUGACCUCUGGCCUCAGGAAGUGAUAGGCAGGGCUAAUUAUGUUCUUUAGUGCUGGGUGGAUUUUUAUUUUUUCUCUUUAAAGUUUCUCGAGCGGGGCCAGGGCCUCCGAUGUUGAGGUCAGUCUUGAACUCCUGCUUUACAAAGCAGUCUCCCAAACGGCGGAAGGACAGGCGCCCACACAUCCAGCCCAGAAGUGGUCUUAACAUUUCGUCAGUGUGUGGUUUCCCUCUUCGCGCGGCUACCCCAGGAGCCAGCAUGUAGAGGUGCCUGGGGCCGGAGUGCUGAUUUCAGUUACAUCUAGUCUUGAAUGACCUUGCUUUGCAACUGUACUGCUUAGCUGCAGUAAAGAGUGGAAAUUAGCCACUGCUGAUACACCAA